AAGACUAUACUUUCAGAGAUCAUUUCUAUAGUUUUUAACUUUUGGAAAUGUGCUCUAAAGUGUCCAGACCUACCAACCAUGAGGAAGAGCACUAGUAAUCUUUUCUGAGCGUGAAGUGAGCUCUCAGUGCUGCUUCAUUGUAGCUGCUGUUUGUUUUUGAUGACCGUUCCUGUUCUUCUAUCAUGGGAGAAAUGGAGGAAUAGAUUACAAGCUGAGUGGU